rnacentral:tRNA from 1 species
GAAAUAAGAGGCCCAUACUUAAGCUGCUAACUCUAAGUAUAAGUGGUUCAACUCCAUUUUUCUUUCU